rnacentral:lncRNA from 10 species
GUUUCUUUACAAGAAGCCCACUGGUUACGCUGCAAACUCUGACAGCCAAGCUGAGUUUCUUUCCCAGGGCCCCCCUUCCCUUGCCUCUCUGGGGGGACCCCCUGUGAUUGCUGCAGCUAACAAACAGGGCUGUGUUCCAUCCUGGCUGCCCUGUGGAAGCCCUGAAGAAAUGGGACGUGGCCCUGUGGAAGCAGGCUGACUUGAAGAGCUGCUGAUGCUGGAGCCCGUCCUAGAGAGUCUGAUUCAAACUGUCUGAGUUAACUACAAUGAACGGCCACAGAUGAGAGCUACCAGACUGGGAGUUAGGGGACAACAAGGGGACAUCGCAGGGCACACUGCUGCUCUAAACAAAAUAGAGGCUCUGCUGGGAAGGAAAAAAGGAAAAUAGGACUUCGGGCACAAACCCUCAACCUAUGGACAUGGUCCCCUUGAUUGUCAGCAUCUGACUCUGACUCUGCACAAGACCUGGGGGAAGCUGCACCAGGAGGGAUGGACAUGCUGCCCAGGAAACACUGGCGAGAGAGGGAGGAGGCUGGCAAAGGGACUGGCACUUGUCUUAAAUGAAGAAUGGCUGUGAAAAGGAGAGGAGCCAGCUUGUCAGAGAGAGCUGCACCUUUUCUUCUCAUCAGGAAUUCCUGUCAUGGGAGGACCCCCUGGAGCUGCUUGGAUAAAGACAGAGAGACACUUCAGCCGAGAUUCCAGUGAUCCGCGUUAUGCUAAUGACAGGAGUGACCGUGAAUGGCUUUCUGCUGUCCUGGCUAAUGGGGCUGCCUCAGGAGAGGAGCUGCUAGCCCAGGGAGGCUGGACUUUCAUCAGCCAGCUGCCCGCCUCCCUGCGCCCCAGGCUAUGGGACUAGAGCAGCCCUGCUCAGGGGCUCUGCUGCAUGUGUGUGCAUGCAUGUGUGUGUGUGUGUGCAUGUGUGUGUGUGCUUCCCUCCCCACCCGUUCCUUCUUGUCGUUCCCCAGCCCCACCCCUUCACCCCCGCCCCACCCCCUGCCCUUUAUCCUCUAGUGGUUUAGCUGAAGACAAUGCUGAGGCAAUUAAUAGUGCCCUUUGAGGACUUGUCACUAGGAAGCUCUUUAAUCCAGCCACCUGAGUUGGGGCCGCAGGCAUGUGACAGGGAUGGGGGGGUGCCAGGACUGUGUGGCAGCUGCUUGGGUGAGGCACAGGCACCGUGUAGAAACCAGGUUGGGAGGCCUAGCUUCCCUAGACACAUAGAUUAUGUGGACAUAGCAGGGGUCAUUGUUUUUCAUUGUAGUUUGUCUCUCACUAGAAUUUUGGUCUUGCUAGCCGGCUGCAGAACCAAGAUCUUAGAGGUGGGGUGCCAAGCAACACACCUGCCAACUACAGGGGCCAUCACAGGAAAAAUUUCCCCCAGCAUGUGGCACCUUAAAGAGGGGACAUCGUGUGGUGGAUGGCAUGUGUUAGGGUGCAGUGGGGCGGGCGGUAACCUCUCUCCUCAGCUCUUCCUACCCCAAAGCUGUGCUCCUGGGAGGCCUGGGGAGCUGGUGGGGAAGGAGUUCAGGUCCAGGUAAGAGCCACACCGGGGGAGGAGAAGACUAGGCAGAGGGAGGGCCCUGGGCCUCCAGGCCUGUCUCUGCCAUGUCUGAUUUCACAGUGUCUCUCACAGUCUCUCACACAACAACCAUCGUCUGUAGCCAGACCAUGCCGGGGCAGCAGGAGCCCUGAUGCCGAGGUGGACCCUGUCUACAAUUUUGUGUACUGUGUGUGUGUGGUGGGUGGGUGUCGGCUGUGUGUACUCUCGGGGCCUGCCCACCUGGCCUUCAUGAGUCGGGUAGUGGGGUCCCCACUGUCUCUCAAAACUGCUUUCCAUAAGCGAUGAACCUGGCUUCGGUCCUCGCCAGCUCCUCUGGUCGCCACUAGAGGGCAGCAGCCAACACAGCCCGGCAAGGGGAACUUUGGCGGCCGACUUCCGGCCGUACCGCCUCCUACUUCCACCUCCCCGCACCUUCCUAGCCCCUGGGGAUGUGCAGGUCCCCAGCGUGUGGGUGGACCACUGGGACCACAGAUCCUACUAAGGAUGUCCUUGGCCUCAGGCAUAGUGAAUGUGUAAGUCUGUUAGAAUGAGAAGGGGAGUGGGUGAAGACAGUGGAGGGGACCAGGGGUGGUCAAAGCCAGAACCCUGAGGUGUAUUCAUUUGUUCCUGCAAGGAUAAAGGCAGGGGAGAAGAGGAAAAGCCCGGGGGACCAGGCAGCCUGCAGGGAGAUGAGGCAGGACCCAGCCCACUGGCCAAAUGGCACCUGAUGACAAGGCAGGCAGAAUCACCCUAACUGCAAAGUCAGGUGACUCAACUCAGAAAGACCAGAGAAAACCAUGUGGACUCCGGAGCCAGCCUGCCCCGGUUUGACCCCUGGCUGCUUAAAAUAUUAGUGGUAUGACUUUGGACAAGAUAUUGAACCUCUCCGUGCCUUGGUUUCUUAGCUGUGAUGGAGACAGUAAUAGUAUCGCCUGUGCUAGAUGUGUGUAUUAAAUAGGUUAGUACAUACAAAUCACAUAGAGCAGUGUCUGACACAGAGAAAGAACACUAUAAAUGCUAGCAAUUAUUGCUUUCUGCACUUCAUCUCAGCCAAAAACCUGAAAAGAAAUUUGGUCUUUGUUUUCUGAAGCAGAGACACCUAUUAUGUUGAAAUAACUAGUUUCCCCUAGAACCCUCUCAUGAAAUAUACGGAGUUGGUCCUUCACCCUACAAACAUUAAAUGGUAACAUUUGUGUGUGGUUUUUUUUUCUCUCUUUUUCUUUUUUUUCCCUUGAGAUGGAGUUUCGCUCUUGUUGCCCAGGCUGUAGUGCAAUGGCGCGAUCUUGGCUCACCUCAACCUCUACCUCCUGGGUUCAAGUGAUUCUCCUGCCUCAGCCUCCCGAGUACCUGGGAUUACAGGCAUGCGCCACCAAGCCGGCUAAUUUUUUUAAUUUUUAGUAGAGACGGGGGUUUCUCCAUGUUGGUCAGGCUGGUCUCGAACUCCCGACCUCAGGUGAUCCACCCGCCUCGGCCUCUCAAAGUGCUGGUAUUACAGGAAUGAGCUAUCGUGCCCGGCCCUUGUGGGGUUUUUUGGAGACAAGGUCUCACUCUGUCACUCAGGCUGGAGGGCAGUGGUGCAAACAUGGCUUAUUGCAGGUUCAACCCCCUGGGCUCAAGGGAUCCUCCCACCUGCACCUCUCAAGUAGCUAGGACCACAAGUGUGUGCCACCAUGCCCAGCUAAUUUUUUUUAUUUCUUGUAGAGAUGGGGUCCCACUAUGUUUCCCAGGCUAGUCUUGAACUCCUGGGCUCAAGCAAUCCUCCUGCUUCAGUGCCCAAAUUGCUGGGAUUACAGAUGUGAGCCACCAUGCCCGGCCACCUGUCAAUAUUUAAAUCAACAAACUGGUCAGUCACCUUUGAACCUCCAAACCCUUUCACUCUUGAAAUGAGUCCCUUGAAUUGAGUGUGGGGACCUGCUAUCCUUCCUUCCCUCCUUCAGGCAAGGCCUGGGUUUGCUCCCCUUGUAACUCCUUCCCCAAACACAGCCUAAGGAUCCUCCCUGAGCCCCGCCCUGUCCUGUUGGGUCAGGUGGACCUGACUUCUCACCACUCUCAGGAAAUGGUGGCCUCUCUCUUCCUGCCAUCGGAGGAAAUUUGAAUCCUCAGCCUUACCUCUCUCAGGCUACUUUUGGCUUUAAAACUGUGGGAAGUGAAAGUGCCCAGCCCUGGAAAAACAAGGCUGGUUCAAAGGUGAAAGCACUUAACCUUUUGGGGCCUCCAGUUUCCCUUAUCUACAAUUCUGGAGAGGGAUGGGGGAUAUUUUUAUAGUUUCCUCCUUCCCUGGGAAGAUGUUUAGGGAAAAAAAAAUACCAAUUGAGACUUUACUGGUUGGGUGUGGUGUCUCAUGCUUGUAAUCCCAGCACUUUGGGAGGCUGAGGCAGGUGGAUCACUUGAGGCCAGCCUGGCCAUCAUGACAAAACUCCAUCUCUACAAAAAUAUAAAAAUUAUCUGGGCAUGGUGGUGAAUGCCUGUAAUACCAGCUGCUUGGGAGGCUGAGGCAGGAGAAUUGCUUGAACCCGGGAAGCGGAGGUUGCAGUGAGCUGAGAUUGUGCCACUGCACUCCAGCCUGGGCAACAGAGCAAGACUCCAUGUCAAAUAAGUAAAUAAAUGAGAGAGACAGAGAGAGAGAGAGAGAGUGAGAGAGAGAUACUUUACUGUGCCGUUACUCACUGAUGCUUCCGUGUCUCCAAUACAAACUCCUCAAUAGAAAAGAUCUGGACAUGAAGCUCCCCUAUUGGAACAAUCAGGGAUGACCAAGUCCCAUGACCUAAGGUUAGCAAACUUACCAGUAAGGCACAACUCAAUGGUUUUUCCUCACAUAGGGACUGGGUAACAACAGGAAAUUGGAGACAUCCUAGCAGGCCCAUCAUAUUAUGAACAUUUUAAUUGUAAACUUCAUUUAUGAAUAGGUAACACCUUUCCAUAUCUUUACAUAGUUCAAUAUUUUAAGGAUAUAAAAAGACAUACAGUGGGAAUGCUGUUUCCUACUCUGAAACCCCACCCCUUCUCUUCCUAGGAAGCAAGCAAUAUUACUGUUUUCUAACGUAUCCUUCCAGAGAUAUUUUAUAGAAAGAAAUGUGUAGCCUGGGUGACGUGGCUCAUGCCUGUAUUACCAAAGUACUACUUUGGGAGGCUGUGGCAGGAGGAUUGCUUGAGCCCAGGAGUUCAAGACCAGCCUGGACAGCAUAAUGAGACCUCAUCUGUACAAAAAAUAAAAAUAAAAAAAUCAGCCAGGUGUUAUGGCAUGCACUUGUAGUCCCAGCUACUUGAGAGGCUGAAGUGGGAGGAUGUCUUGAGCCCUGUGGGUUGAGGGUGCAGUGAGCCAUGAUCUUGUCACUGUGCUCCAGCCUGGGUGACAGAGUGAGACCCUGUCCCUCCCUGCAAAAAAUGUGUAUAUAGAUUCUUUUCCCCAUUCUUUUGCUUUUUUUCAAAAAUAGUCCUAUAUAGGUACAUAAAGAACACCCUCAUUGGCUUUUAGGGCUAAAUAUACUUAACCAGUUUCCUAUCAAUGAACACUUAGGUUGUUUUCAGUCUCUUACAGUGCUGCAAUGAAAAGCCUUGUAAAUAAGCAUAUGGUGAGGCCGGGUGCAGUGGCUCAUAACUGUAAUCCCAGUACUUUGGGAGGCCAAGGUGUGUGGGUUACUUGAGGUCAGGAGUUUGAGACCAGCCUCGCCAACAUGGCGAAAUCCCAUCUCUACAAAAAUACAAAAAUUAGCUGGAUGUGGUGGUGGGCACCUGUAAUCCCAACUGCUCAGGAGGCUGGGGCAGGAGAAUCGGUUGAACCCAGGAGGCAGAGGUUGCAGUGAGCUGAAAUCGUGCCACUGCACUCCAGCCUGGGCAACAGAACAAGACUCCAUCUCAAAAAAAAAAAAAAAAAGGAUAUAGCCCUUUAAGGUCUCACUCUGUCACCCAGGCUGGAGUGCAGUGGUGUGAUCCUGGUUCACUGCAACCUUGAACUCCCAGGCUCAAGCGAUCUCCCACCUCAGACUCCUGAGUAGCCAGGACUACCGGCACCAUUGCACCUGGAUAACUUCUAAAUUUUUUGUAGAGAUGGGGUCUCACUUUGUUGUCUAGGUCAAUCUUGAACUCCUAGGCUCAAGUAAUUCUCCUGCCUAGGCCUCCCAAAGUGCUAGGAUUAUAGGCGUGAGCCACCCCACCAUGCCCCAUAUACAUAUCUCUCAGGUAUUCUUAACUGGGGGUCCAGGGACCCCUUAGAAGUCAGCAGGUAUAGAAUUUAGGGAGACAAUUUUAAGACGCCUGGAAACUUGGAAGGAGAAAAGUUUCUAUUUUUAUCUAUAACUCUCUCAUAUGAUUAAUGAUAUCUUGAAAUAUCAUUUACCCUCACUCCUACUUUGUCAUUGUGGUAGGUAGCUAUUAGAUUUUGCAAUAGGUCUGCUUAUGUCAUAUAUUAAUAGAGAAGCACAUAAAUUACAGAAUACAUUUGGUUUUCUAAAAAUAGUUUAAUACUUGCAUUUCUAUAUAAUUGGUUUGCUUUGUAAUCUUUUUUGUUUUAUUUUUGUUUUUGUUUUUGUUUUGAGACGGAGUCUCCCUCUGUCCCCCAGGCUGGAGUGCAGUGACGCGAUCUCGGCUCACU